rnacentral:rRNA from 1 species
CACUAAGGUCAACACGUCAAGGUUGAACUCAGUCCUUCAGAUUCGGGCUGCACAGUCAACUGGCCAAGUUAGGAAGAAGACUACAGGAUUCCCCUAGUACGGCGAGUGAAGCGGGAACAGCUCAAAUUUGAAAUCUCACAGGGCUACCUGUGCGAAUUGUAGUUUAGAGAAGCGUUUUCGGGGGCAACUUGGGUAUAAGUCCUUUGGAAUGAGGCAUCAUAGAGGGUGAGAAUCCCGUUUAUGAUCCAAUGUUUGCUCCUAUGUGAUACGCUUUCCAAGAGUCAGGUAGUUUGGGAUUGCUGCCUAAAAUGGGUGGUAAAUACCAUCUAAAGCUAAAUAUUGGCGAGAGACCGAUAGCGAACAAGUACCGUGAGGGAAAGAUGAAAAGAACUUUGAAAAGAGAGUUAAACAGUACGUGAAAUUGCCAAAAGGGAAACGCUUGGAACCAGUAUUGUUUACAGGUAAUCAGCUAUACAGCCUGGAAAGGUUAGUAUGGUGCACUUGCUUGUGAACAGGUCAACAUCAGUUUGGUUUGGGGUAAAAAGCCAGAGGAAGGUGACUUGGACUUCGGUCUGAGUGUUAUAGCCUCUGGUCAUGCCUUGGACUGGACUGAGGUCUGCAGCAUUCUUUGGGUACCUGAUUGCCUCCUGACCCUUGGUUUUAGACAGCUUGCUGACUGAGAUUAAGGUUAGGGAGCCCAGUUUAGGCUUUGCCACACCCAGGUGCUUAGGAUGUUGACGAAAUGAUUCCAAACGGCCCGGUCUUUGAAACCACGGACCCAAGGGAGUCUAACAUAUAUGCCGAGUAUUUUGGGUGGCAAAACCCUUAUGCGAAAUGAAAAGUGAACUUAGGUGGGAUCUUUCGGUGCACCAUCGACCGGUCUGGAUUUUUUUGAUAGAUCUGAGUAAGAGCAUAUCUGUUGGGACCCGAAAGAUGGUGAACUAUGCCUGAAUAGGGUGAAGCCAGAGGAAACUCUGGUGGAGGCUCGUAGCGAUUCUGACGUGCAAAUCGAUCGUCAAAUUUGGGUAUAGGGGCGAAAGACUAAUCGAACCAUUACCAAAAGACAACAGCUCUUAGGUGGUUAAGAGGGACGUAAAGUACGAUCCCUAGUCCUGUGAAAGCGGGCAAGACUGUCAAAAUGCUGGGACACCCUAAAGACAUUGGUACUAAACCAGGCUGGAAACAAUCUGGUGGUGGAGUAACUUGCUCCAGAGUGAAAAUCCAAUGUAUGAAAGGCUUUACAGGCCUGGAAAUGGGCAAUCAGCAGCCAAGCCCUAAGUCUGCUGCUUUUAAAGCAGCAGAUAUGGGUGCAGUUCAGAGACUAGAUGGCAGUCGGUGUCUUGUUCAGAGAUGCUUAAGGUAUAGUCCAAUCCCAACUGAAAGGUUGGCCUUCAGACAAAGCUGUACGGUGCUUUCACCAUACUUGCCUGUUGUUUAAAACAUCUUGGCCAGUUGACUGUGCAGCCCGAAUCUGAAGGACUGAGUUCAACCUUGACGUGUUGACCUUAGUG